UUCUGGUGGUGCUGGGUUGACAACUGGACUAGAAGAUCUUGAAGGUCUCUUCCAACCUUGAUUAUUCUGUGCUUCUGUGAUCUGUCAUCCCUGUUUGCAGCUUUGUGCUCUAACAAGACCCUGGGGAUGUUUUCUUUGCUGGGUCCCUCACAGAGCUUGAGUUGUGUG